rnacentral:SRP_RNA from 1 species
GCGGGAGUCGGGCGGACGAGGUAGUCGCCAACCUGGUCAGGUCCGGAAGGAAGCAGCCACAACGAUAUCGCCUCGGGUCGUUCGGCUCCCACCGG